CUGCAGUGCACUAUUGCAAUGCCAAAUAGACUGUUCUAAACCCUAUGCCAGUCUGUAGGGUCUAUACGGAAGGUGCUCUACUAACUGCAUUUUUUACUUGAGGUUCAGGUAGCAAAUAACUCCGUGGUGAGCUCUGUCAUCUAACCCUGCCUGGUUGCUUCCCCCAGUGAGUCCAGCAGAAGAAAAUGUAUGCUUCCAGCUCAGGUAUUUCAGUGCCAGUCCAGCACCUGAGCACAGUGCUCCCAGCCUCCUGCAGCUGAGGUGCUAUUUUGUAUGACACAUGAGUACACAUUUCCUGCUGCUGAGGGGGUAGUAGCUAAAAAGAGCCUGUAACUUUCUAACAUGGCUGAUACAAAACUCAUCCAGAACCGAUAUGCUGUGAGCUCAGUGCUUUGAGCUUCUUGUUUCCACUUAGUUGGACUCUUAUUUCAGGCCAUAAAGGAAUGUAUAACCUUUGGUCACCAGAUAUGGCUUUGUUGCCUGAGGAUCCUCCCAGCCAUGCAGGCCAGAACAUGCAAACAUCUUAACAUGAUUAGAGGGUUUUAGCCCAAAAGCCUCUAAUUUCAGGUGCUACUUUUUCGCACUGGCCACAGGCUGGGUGUUUGGAGCAGAGGUUGGUACUGCAGAAUGGAGCUGAGGUGGGGAGGGUUUGUGUGUCACCAGAUCAGAUGUGCUCCAGCCCAGAGUGGCUGUGGCUGAUCUGCCAACUCGGAAGCAUCUUGUACCCUGCCCAGCAGAGCUGGAUAUAUAAAAGGGCCGAUGGGAGUUCAUUAAGUGCCUUUCCCUGGACAUGGUCUUUGACAACACUGUGUGGCUCUGCUUCAGUGGGGCUGAUGGAGCUGCAGCUCGGGACAGCAGUGCCUGUAUGUCUGCCGGGCUGGUGCUUUUGUCCUUCAAGUGCCACCAGUGAGUGUGGCAGUGAACAGGACACUUGGGCUGCACUCUUCAGUUUCUGAGCAGCUCUGCAGACUACAGAGGGGUUGAGGGAGAACCCAGAGCAACCAAGCAAGCAUCUCUGCUGCUGCUGCUUCUGGUCUUCCUGAAGCCCUCACUGACAUCACUGCAUGCAAACUGACGCCUUUGUGGCCCUUUACAACUCUAAACUCUAAAUACUCGAUAUUUAUAUCCCAGUCUUUCCUUUGUAUUAACUCCUCCUUGCCUGCGUCUGUGCUUUGCAUGCCCUGGUGAGCUGAGCUUGGGUGUGUCAAAAGCUGAGGGCAAGAUGGGACUAUAAAACUGGUGUAGUGGUGUUUUAUUUUGCCUUUAUGACUUAUUUUUCCAGUACGCUGAGAUGAUGUGAAGCUAAUAAUCAUGCUUAGAUACUAUAGAAAGUAUGUAUUCAUGUAUUGUGGAUAAAUUAUUUAUACUCUUAUGAAAAUUAAUAUAAUUAAUAGCCAAAUGAUUGCUUGAGAUUGACUCCACUCCUGAAAGCAGGGAGCUGUGGUGUUUGGCUUUGCUUUGGUUUUUAAAGAGAUGCUUUUGAACUUGUGUGCUGUCACAUAUACUCUACUGGUUCAUUCCUGGUGUUUUGUCACCUGCGAGUACCUUGGGGCCUCCGAACCAUAGCAGAUGCUCUCAUAUGAAAGGGGCAGUACUCAGUCCUGAAGUCAUCCCCUGUAAAGCCUCAUUUGGGACCAAAGCUAUCCAGUGCCCAGGCAGGGAAGAGAUCUUCCGAACGCUUUUGUCAUGCCAGCAAGUCUGAAGCAUUGUAGACACGGGAUGUGCAUACACACAAACACCCCCCUCUAUCUGUGUGCCACCAGCUAGCAGCAAAGGCUGCUGAUGACAACCAUCUCUGUCUACUCUAGAAGGUAUUAGUGCAGGACCUGGCAUCUGGAGCAUUUUCAUCUUUAAUUCACCCCUCCUUUUGCAUCCAAAGCUGGACAGUGUGUAGGAGAAAAGAACUCUUAGUCUUGGCAGCUAAAGUUUAUAGCUAAGUCACUUUAAUGUGUCUGAGACCUGUGCCCCUUUUUUAGCAUGAUCCAUCCCUCUCCCUGUUUUUUAUUCACUAUAUUGCUCUUCACCCCUGAUUAUGUCGGCAUAUGGAGGCACAGCUUAUGGCCCUGGCAGAUGUGAUGCAGCACACCAGAGAAGUGACUGCAGGUCAGCUCACACAAAUGUGCUUAUCUCUGCCAGCCCUAAGUGAGCUGCUUCCGCAGGCAGGGCAGCAGCACCCGUGCUGCUUGGAGAAAGUGGUGCAGUCAUACAUGGGUUACUCAUAGCUAAAUUAGGAUGGGACCUUAAGUCCAGAGCAAAUAUUAUAACCCAUGACUGACCCAUAGCUCCCUAGCUGCCUCCAGGCAGAUGAACCUCAGCACAUACAGCAAGCUGCCUGGCUGUGACUGUCUUACCUUCUUACUUCAUGUGCUGAAUUAUCCCGUAGUGGGUCCAGCUACAGCCCUGUAGUCUGACCUGAACCGUGCUCUCCCAUAUCUGUAGCCCAGCGAUGAUGCAGCAUCUCUGGUUAAAAUGUGAAUUCAGAAGGCACACACGUGUGGUGGUGUCUGUGGAUAAGAGGGAGGUAUUGGGACAAGAGGAGGGGAGGCUCUGCUGGGAGGAGGCUUUUCUUCAGGACAGUGUACGGUCCCAUACCAUGUAAUACUCUUCUUUAACUUUAUUUUUGAAGUAUCUGUGUAGCAGAGUUGUGCCCAACUGUAGUAACGCUGUGACCAUUGUAACCACUGACUGAGAUACCCCAGUUUUGAUGUUCACAAUACCAAGUUCUGAAAUAAACGGCUUCCGGGCCCUAUUUCCACAAA